rnacentral:rRNA from 1 species
UACAGAGGUCUCAAGCGUUGCCCGGAUUCACUGGGCGUAAAGCGGGUGUAGGCGGUUCUUUAAGUCGGAUGUGAAAUCCAGCGGCCCAACCGCUGAAUUGCAUCCGAUACUGGGGAACUUGAGGACGGUAGAGGUCGGUGGAAUAUCCGGUGUACCGGUGAAAUGGACAGAUAUCGGAUGGAACACCAGUGGCGAAGGCGGCCGACUGGGCCGAUCCUGACGCUGAGACCCGAAAGCUAGGGUAGCGAACCGG